rnacentral:rRNA from 1 species
GACGAACGCUGGCGGCGUGCUUAACACAUGCAAGUCGAACGGUGAAAGCGGAGCUUGCUCCGCUGAAUCAGUGGCGAACGGGUGAGUAACACGUGGCCAACCUGCCCUUCACUUCGGGAUAACUCCGGGAAACCGGGGCUAAUACCGGCGAUGACCUCUGCGGACAUCCGCGGAGGGCGAACGUCUUUCGGGGAAGGAUGGGGCCGCGGCCGAUCAGCUUGUUGGUGAGGUAGUGGCUCACCAAGGCGACGACGGGUAGCCGGGCUGGGGGGGCGACCGGCCACACUGGGACUGAGACACGGCCCAGACUCCUACGGGAGGCAGCAGUGGGGAAUAUUGCGCAAUGGGCGAAAGCCUGACGCAGCGACGCCGCGUGCGGGAUGACGGCCUUCGGGUUGUAAACCGCUUUCAGCAGGGAAGAAGCCGCAAGGUGACGGUACCUGCAGAAGAAGCACCGGCUAACUACGUGCCAGCCGCCGCCGUAA